CAAUUGAAGUGUCCACCACCGUGCCGCCAGCGAAUCCCGGCACCCACUACGGUGGCGUCCCUCGGAGCCGCGCGGUAGCUGUAGAGGUGAUCUGAAGCACGGAGAAGAUACCUGUCCUGGGCCUGGGCAUCUGGAAGGCAGUAACUCUUCUUGCCCGUUCACUCGAUGCCAGCCCCUGGAUGCCAGGUGUUGUACUGUACUACUGUACUUUUCAAGAGUGGCUGCACCAUGUUGCACUUCCAUCAGCCAUGAAUGAGAGUUCCUGUUGCUCCACAUCCUCACCAGCAUUUGGUGUUGUCAGUGUUCUGGAUUUGGACACUUUUAACAGGACUUCCAAAACUAUGCUGAAUAAUAGUGGCAAGAAUGGACACCCUUGACUUGUUCCUGAUCUUAGAGGAAAUGCUCUCAGUUUUUCACCAUUGAGAAUAAUGUUUGCUGUGGGUUUGUUGCAUAUGGCCUUUAUUAUGUUGAGGUAGGUUCCCUCUAUGCCCACUUUCUGGAGAGUUUGUUGAAUUUUGUCAAAAGCUUUUUCUGCAUCUACUGAGAUGACCAUAUGGUUUGUACAAAUUUCCAAGACUGAACCAAGAAGAAUUAGAGAAUAUAAUCAGACCAAUCACAAGUAAUGAAAUUGAAACUGUAAUUAGAAAUCUUCCAGCAAACAAAAGUCCAGGGCCAGAUGGCUUCACAGGAGAAUUAUAUCAAACAUUUAGAGAAGAGCUAACGCCUAUCCUUCUCAAACUCUUCCAAAACACCGCAGAGGAAAGAACACUCCCAGACUAGUUCUAUGAGGCCACAAUCACCCUAAUACCAAAACCAGACAAAGAUAUCACAAAAAAAGAAAAUUACAGACCAAUAUCACUGACGAACAUAAAUGCAAAAAUCCUCAACAAAAUUCUAACAAACGGAAUCCAACAACACAUUAAAAAGAUCAUACACCAUGAUCAAGUGGGAUUUAUCCCAAGGAUUCAAGGAUUCUUCAAUAUAUGCAAAUCAAUCACUGUGAUACACCAUAAUUAACAAAUCAAAUAUUCUCUUACUGUGCUUAGUUCCCUGACCAGGGAUCGAACCUGCACCCCCUGCAUUGGAAGCACAGAGUCAACCACUGGACUUCCAGGGAAGUCCCAUUACUGUACUUAAUUAAAAUUAAACUUUAUCAUAGGCAUGUACAUAUAGGAAAAAAUAUAGUCUAUAUAGUGUUCAGUAAUAUCCAUGGUAUGGUUUGGGGCAUCCACUGUGGUGGUGGUGGGUGGGGGGAAGUGUCUUAUCCCACAGAUUAGAGAGAACUAUUGUAUCUCACUUUUGUCUUAAUUUGCAAAUCUCUAAUGAUAUGGGAUGUUUAACAAUUUUUUCAUAUGCUUAUUUGCUACCUGUUCAGGCAAACCUUGGAGAUACUGCAGGUUCAGUUCCAAGCCAUCACAAUAAAGCAUAUAUUGCAAUAAAGGAGCCACAUAUUUUUCAGUUUCCCAGUAAACAUAAAAAGUGAUGUUUACACUACACUGUGGUCUAUUAAGUGUGCAAUAGCAUAUGUCUAAAAACUACAUACCUUAAUUUAAAACGACUCAAUUGCUAAAAAGUGCCAAAACAGUUACAAUAGU